AAAAAAAUAAAAUCAGAGAAAAAAAUCUUUGCCUGAUUUGAUAACUGGUUCUUCUUCUCUUUCAUCUUUCUUUUUUUCUCCAAUGAGAGAGAGAUACGGAUGAUGGGUUAAAAAAAAAGUUACCGGCGGUCUCGGAUUCGCUUGGUGCAGGUUGGGAACUGAUUGGCUGACACCGACUUUUGUUUUGUCGUCAUGGUUGGUUUGUCAGCUCCCGCCUUGCAUCAACUGAAUCGGAGUCUGAGGUGAAAAUAUAAAAAGGAUCCGAAUAUUAGAUCUGACUCGAUCUUCAUCUUACGGUUGGGCCGAAGAGAAAUGGAGAAAGAAGCGGAAACAGACCUUAAAAAGAGUUUCUAUACAACAUAGGUUCGAAGCUAUAGAUAAAUGGGAAAGCGUUUCAUGCUCUCAAGAACCACCAAAAUUCCAUAAUCAAGCUCAGGUUAAGAUAGCGUCAUUGCUUUGUGGCCUAUGCAGACCAAGUCAAGAUCAUCUUCUUCCUCGUCUUAACCUGAGCUUUAAUAAUUGGUAUUAUAGUAUUAAUUCCAUUCUUCUUUUUUUCUUGACCUUGUAAGACUUUUUUUUUUACUCUUUUCUGUUUUUUUUACUAUUUCCAUCUUUUAGAUUUCUCGAUUCUGUCGAGUAUAGUUUUACUAAAUAGAUCAAGAUUUUGUUGUAUACUGUUAGAAUUCAUA